AGGGGUGUAGCUCAAUUGGUAGAGUAGCGGUCUCCAAAACCGUUGGUUGGGGGUUCGAUUCCCUCCGCCCCUG
rnacentral:tRNA from 1 species